rnacentral:rRNA from 1 species
UACGGGGGGAGCAAGCGUUGUUCGGAUUUACUGGGCGUAAAGGGCGCGUAGGCGGCCACCGCAAGUCGACUGUGAAAUCUCCGGGCUUAACCCGGAAAGGUCAGCCGAUACUGCGGGGCUAGAGUGCAGAAGGGGCAACUGGAAUUCUCGGUGUAGCGGUGAAAUGCGUAGAUAUCGAGAGGAACACCUGCGGCGAAGGCGGGUUGCUGGGCUGACACUGACGCUGAGGAGCGAAAGCGUGGGUAGCGAACAGG